GAUCCUGGCUCAGGACGAACGCUGGCGGCAUGCUUAACACAUGCAAGUCGAACGGUAAGGCCCUUCGGGGUACGACGAGUGGCGAACGGGUGAGUAACACGUGAGUAACCUGCCCCCGACCUUUGGAAUAAGCGCUCGAAAGGGCGUCUAAUACCGAAUAGUUCCUCAGUGGGCAUCCACUGAGGCGAAAAGCUCCGGCGGUUGGGGAUGGACUCGCGUCCUAUCAGCUUGUUGGUGAGGUAACGGCUCACCAAGG
rnacentral:rRNA from 1 species